GCCCCCUGAGCAGGCUUUCUUAACAGAAGGCCAUGAGGUUUGUCUUGAUAUAGAAAAUGAAUGUGGGGAUGCUGCAGAGUUAUAAGUAGAGGGUUAUGUGAUCAGAAAGUGAAGGAAUAUAUGGCAACAGGGUACUGGAGACACUGACUUCCAAAGGCUAGAAGCAGGACUGGAGUGGAAAUGGUACUCUUUCAUGAGUUUGGUUUCAACACACGUGUGAUGUGAGACAGACCUAGUCUGACCUCAAAAAGACUUGACCUCAAAAAGAUGAUUUAUCCUG